CUCCGGCUGCUGCACCGGCAGCUCGUGCACCCCAGGGGUCAGGCGGUAGGCCAGCCCAUAGCCGCUGGGCAGACGGGUGACCUGCUGGGGGCUCAGCGCGCGCUUCUUGACACAGGUGAGACCUGUGAACUCGGGCUUGCACAGACACUCGUAGCUCACCUGGGUGUGCUGCAGGCAGGUGCUUAAAACACAUCAGGUGAAUGAGGGAGCGAGGGAGGGAACGCCAGCCAGGGAGGCACAGAGAGGUGCCCGGGGCCGUGACCCCUGUCUG
rnacentral:lncRNA from 1 species